rnacentral:misc_RNA from 1 species
GAUGAAGAACGCAGCGAAAUGCGAUACGUAAUGUGAAUUGCAGAAUUCAGUGAAUCAUCGAAUCUUUGAACGCAUAUUGCGCUCUCUGGUAUUCCGGAGAGCAUGCUUGUUUGAGUAUCAGUAAACACCUCAACUUCCAUAUCUUUUUUGAAAUGGGAGUUGGACUUGAGUGAUCCCAACGCUUUUCCUCACCGAAAAGUGGCGGGUUACUUGAAAUGCAGGUGCAGCUGGACUUUUCUCUGAGCUAUAAGCAUAUCUAUUUAGUCUGCCUAAAAAACAGAUUAUUACCUUUGCUGCAGCUAACAUAAAGGAGAUUAGUUCUUGUGCUGACUGAUGCAGGAUUCACAAAGACAGGCUUCGGCCGACUUUGUAAACUCGAUCUCAAAUCAAGUAAGACUACCCGCUGAACUUAAGCAUAUCAAUAAGCGGGA